rnacentral:rRNA from 1 species
AUUGAACGCUGGCGGUAUGCUUAACACAUGCAAGUCGAACGGUAGCAGGCCUUCGGGCGCGGACGAGUGGCGAACGGGUGAGUAAUGCAUCGGAACGUGCCCGAUCGUGGGGGAUAACGCAGCGAAAGCUGCGCUAAUACCGCAUACGAUCUGAGGAUGAAAGCGGGGGACCGUAAGGCCACGCGCGAUCGGAACUGCCGAUGUCAGAUUAGGUAGUUGGUGGGGUAAAGGCUCACCAAGCCAACGAUCUGUAGCUGGUCUGAGAGGACGACCAGCCACACUGGGACUGAGACACGGCCCAGCCUCCUACGGGAGGCAGCAGUGGGGAAUUUUGGACAAUGGGCGAAAGCCUGAUCCAGCAAUGCCGCGUGCAGGAAGAAGGCCUUCGGGUUGUAAACUGCUUUUGUACGGAGCGAAAAGGUCCCCUCCAAUACAGGGGGCUCAUGACGGUACCGUAAGAAUAAGCACCGGCUAACUACGUGCCAGCAGCCGCCGUAACAC